rnacentral:rRNA from 1 species
AGAUUGAACGCUGGCGGCAGGCCUAACACAUGCAAGUCGAGCGGCAGCACGGGUACUUGUACCUGGUGGCGAGCGGCGGACGGGUGAGUAAUGCCUAGGAAUCUGCCUGAUAGUGGGGGAUAACGUUCGGAAACGGACGCUAAUACCGCAUACGAUCUAUGGAUGAAAGCGGGGGACCGUAAGGCCUCGCGCGAUUGGAGCGGCCGAUAUCAGAUUAGGAGUUGGUGGGUAAAGGCUCACCAAGCCAACGAUCUGUAGCUGGUCUGAGAGGACGACCAGCCACACUGGGACUGAGACACGGCCCAGACUCCUACGGGAGGCAGCAGUGGGAAUUUUGGACAAUGGGCGCAAGCCUGAUCCAGCAAUGCCGCGUGCAGGAAGAAGGCCUUCGGUUGUAAACGUGUCUUUUGUACGAACGAAACGGUCCGUGGUUAAUACCUGGGCUAAGUGACGGUACCGUAAGAUAAGACACCGGCUAACUACGUCGCCAGCACGCCGA